rnacentral:pre_miRNA from 11 species
UUAUACUGAAAGACCCCCAGAGUGGGGAGACCCUCACUCAAGUCUCGGGAUAAGCCGAUACCCCAAUAAUUCAAGAGAGACC